GUGCUCGCUUUGGCAGCACAUAUACUACAAUUGAAAUGAUACAGAGAAGACUAGCAUGGCUCCUGCGCAAGGAUGACAUGCAAAUCCGUGUAAAGUUCCAUAUUUUU
ensembl:snRNA U6 U6 spliceosomal RNA